rnacentral:rRNA from 1 species
UCCGUAGGGGGCAAGCGUUGUCCGGAUUUAUUGGGCGUAAAGAGCGUGUAGGCGGCCUGCCAGGUCUGCUGUGAAAACUCGAGGCUCAACCUCGAGAUGUCGGCGGAAACCGUCUGGCUAGAGUCCGGAAGAGGAGAGUGGAAUUCCUGGUGUAGCGGUGAAAUGCGCAGAUAUCAGGAAGAACACCUAUGGCGAAGGCAGCUCUCUGGGACGGUACUGACGCUGAGACGCGAAAGCGUGGGGAGCGAACAGG